GCAGAAGAGAGUGAUGAAUUUCGCCAACAGGACGAGUACGACAAAUAAUAACUACCGUACUUACAACGACAACGAGAGAAGGAUUUAAAUAGCGGGCAUGUAUUCUCAAACAAAAAUGGGCAUCCUUCUGAUAAUCAUUACUGCGUACGAUCGAGAGUAAAAGGAUGGGAACUUUAGGAAGCGAUUUCAAACAUAGGUUUGGUGAUAAUCAGACCAAGUAUCGGAACCAUAUGUCAAUGCCGGUAGAACACAGUGGUUAAAAACUUUUCUUUUAAGUUUUAAUAAGCAAAGAACCAAUCCGGAGUGGUCCAAGACUUUCAAUAAGAUCGAUUGCCGUCUGUUGCAAGUACACCCUGAGCCACAAUAGGAAGUGGAAUAGAUCUAUACCCUCGAGAAGGCUACACAUCACCAUCCAUGCGGCCUGGUCAGCGAAGAAAUUCAUGGAGCAGGUUUUCAUCAGGAGAUAAUGGCUGGUAUAGUGGGUUAGUUGUAUAGGAGAAAGUUGCUUGGAACUUGAAAGGCAUCCGCCCAUCUGCAUGCAGCUAUCUGAUGGUGAGAUGAGGUUUGAUGAUGUCACUGUUGAAUGGCCAUGCAAGUCGACUGACUUCCUCCAUGCACGAAAGGACCAAGUUUUACUAUGAGAAGGAGUAGGACGUGGAUUGUAGACUUCUGUCGACGAGUAUCCUGAAAAUACCUUGGUGGAAAGUUCUCCCGAUGUAGUCCAUCAUGGUGAGGAGGUAAUCCAGAUCAAGUUGAUCUUCCGCUUGCCUGAGGAACCCUGGGGAGGGAGCGGGGAAGGGGGGGGGGGGGUACUGCCAUUUAAGGUGGACAACGACAUCAUGCUCUUCCAGAAAAGCGUGAAAAGGUAUUCGCUUUUCCUGGCCGAGAGAUGUGGGAGCGUAAAGUAAAAAGGGUAUAAAAAAUUCCAAACUCAAGAAGUAAUCUCCAACUCUGGAUACGUGAAAAUGGUAUUAUAAAGGCCAGGGAAAACAUGAAAAAUACUUGGGUCCCUUUGAGAAGGGAUCUGAAAUAAAGAAUGUUUACUUUAGGGUCAAUUUUGAAAGUCCAUGGACGAGCAUCCAUCCAUUCGUCUAUCCAUCCAUCCAUUCAACCAUUUAUUCAUUCUGUUGUGUUGUCGUUGGGAUCUAUGCUCUUUUGCUUUCAACCGGACUUAAAUGAGACGAAAUCAAAGCAAGAUCAUGUACAGAUACAUGUAUUUAUCAAAGAUGAUAACUUGAUGAUGAUGAAGACAAAUACAUGAGUAAGUCUGAUGGUGACUAUACUCUGAAGUAUAUAAAAUAGACUCUGCAAAAUGAUGUAGGGUAGUAUACUUUUCUGUAACUCUAAACUCCAAUCUCUGAAACUGAUGUGGGUUCAGAGGUAAACUUUACUCUGAAUUGGGGGAGUUGACCUUUUAGUGAGAACAUGAAAUGUAGUGAAUAAGAAACCCAUAAAAUGAUGUUUGCGUCAGAGGUUUAGCUGGAAGAAGAAUGAGUAAUACUUUCUUAAGAAAGUUGGAGUUGGUCUGCUUCCUGUAGAAGUAUUGAUUAAGUAUUGGUUAUGUAUUGAUAUAUUAUUUAAUAUGUGAGAUAUGUCUUAUCACAUAACGAUUCAUCUAUCCAUCCAUCCAUUCAUCUAUCCAUCCAUUCAUUAAUUCAUGUAUGCUCGCAUAAAUGCAUGCAUUCAUUCAUCCAACCAUUCAUUCAUUAGUCAUUCACUCACUUAGCCAUUCAUUCGUUCAUUCACUCACUUAGCCAUUUAUUCAUUCAUUCAUCCACUUAGCCAUUCAUUCAUUCACUCACUUAGCCAUGCAUUGAUCUGUGUAUGACCACAUGCAUUCAUUUAUUUAUUCAUCCAUCCAUCCAUCCAUCAAUUCAUCCAUCCAAUCACUCAUUUGUUCAUUCAUUCGUUCAUUUAUCAAUCCAUCCAUCCAUUCAUUAAUUCAUUUACGGAUGUCAAAUGAACAAAAAUUAUAAUACAUAUAUUAUAUAUA